CUAAGGCAAAUAAAGAAGCUGGCAGACACCUCGGCUUCCUAGAAUCCUUAGUUCAUUCAGAGCUUGGCUCAAAUACCUUUGAGACUCAGGAAAAGCUCAACGGAAUUUCCCGCUUCUUCCAGCUGCUAGUAUCUGGCCUCCAAAUUAUCAGAGAGAAGCUGUGGAAAAAAAGACUCAUGGCAACUGAAUGAGAGAACUGGUAAAUGUAGUGAGAAGAAUACUGAAAUAAAAACAUCUGUUCAGAGAACACUAUGGAUAAUUCAAUCACAAGAGCAAAGUGAUAUUUAUACUUCCUCUGGAAGCACAUCUGGGACCAUCACGUUAGAGUCAAAAUAUAAUGGCUCCUCUGUCCUUGGUGGUGAAAAGAAUCAAGUUUUCACAAGCAAUACUCCAUAAUAAACCAUAUCUUUGCCAUCACACAAUUGACUAAAAGAUUUAGAGAAGGCUUCAAGUUGGAACAAGCCAAGAAAAGAUUUGAGGAGAGAAGCCCUUAUAUUCAGAGAAAGAAAAUAUGGACUUGACCACAAGGAGGGCAUAAGGACACCAUCAAUAAAACGUAUAAUCAGAAAAGGAGGUUUCCUGAUCAUGUAUUGAGAGGGAUAACAAGAUGGACACUCCAGUGUUGAUCCUCCAUAGACAAUUUAAGUACUUCACAAGGUAAAAGGUAUGGAUAAAUUUUGAUGUGAAUUGUUGGAGGGAAUACCUGUAUGAUGAGAUCACAGAUCUAUUAAUGUAUCACCUCACUGGAAUUUAAAUUCCUUAAGAGCAGGAUCCAUGAAUUAGCUAAACUUUGUACUUCACCUAGACCUAAGAUGGAAUUUUGUAGACAGCAGGCACUUAUCAACUACAUUAUAUCUUA